UUUCGAGUGGUCUAGAGACCUUUGACAUACAUUGCAGAUUAAUUGGGCCUGGAGAAAAGGAGGGAGGUUAAUUAGUCCCGAAAUGAAUCAAACUAAACAUUUCGGUUGAAUUGUCUCUGGGGCUGCGCUUGGCCGGGGCCGCUCGAGGGAUCAGCUUUUGAGCCGGACAAAUUGGAGGCGAGUAGCGGUGGUGCGGGACCGACACGGGCCUUUAGCAAUCAUAUANACAUCUCCUCAUCUAUCAUCUUGCUAUGGCAUCCGCACUGAGUGACAUGGGUAAAUGGAGAGUGACAAAGACAGGUGGAACAAGGAAAUGUGUUAGCCCUCGUUCGGCGCAAAUGCUACAUAUUGCUGGGACAUUUUUGUUUCAAGUUGCAGACGGAGGAACAUAUGCUGGGCCUUAUCCACUCAAGUUGUCUCCUAAUCAUGCAUCUGUCUCAGGAAAAAACAAAGAAAAGACUCCAGCUUUCUUUCUUUCUUUGAUGGACGAGGGAACCACUCAGAAGAGCUUAGCUGUACCUGGACCACCCCUUCCCCAUUUUAAGAGAAGUCUUUUCAGCACAAACAUCGUUUCUUCUCCGUGGUUCUUUGUUAGAGCUGGAGUGCCCUGUUCAGUAAGUUCAGACAGAUGGCAAUGACAUAUUUCAUACAGAACUCUGUAAUGUGGGUAAUGGUUCAGGUGGUCUCUGAGAAGGUGAAUGGUUCCUCCACCGUUUUCUCCCCUCCAAAUAGCUUUUGAUUGAACUGCUGGAACUGCCGUCUGCUUUGGAGGCAGCCCUUGGCCUUUUCCCAUGUCCUUGGGAUGCUUGUAAUUUUUUUUUUCUUUUUCUGAAGGCUGGAGCUCCCAAGAAGUAGGUGUCCAAGCUGGGGAGGUUACCAUAGUUUACAGAUGGAUCACUGAGGGUGAGAGACUACCAGUCAAUGUCUUCAAGGCAGUGAAUCCAGAAACACAGUGUCCUGAAGUCAAUGGGAUUUCUCUCCUACCUGCAAAUGUAAUGCUUUCAGUUUUUCAAAGAGAAUCACAAGAGGGACGAGUUGGGAAGCAGAGAGCAUAGCUCUGUGGCAGAACAUCUGGUUUGCACGCAACCCCAUGGAAGGCAAUGGCAAACUGCUUUUGUCUUUAAAGGUACCAGUGACUUUGACCCGACCCCAGCCCCUGGUGACUUUAUGGACACCUCCGUGCACUUUUCUUGGAGACAUUGUGGCAGGUUUGCUGAGCCUGUCAAGAUGUUCAGAAUCACAGAGAUUUCUUAGCUGACUGUCAGGUUGUUAGGUGGGUGCCUGCUAUUUCAGACAGGCCUUGUAUGGAUGGAUCUCUUCUUCAUUCCCAAGCCAUUAUUAUAUUUAUAUAUAUUAUUUACUUGAGGUCACAGUGUGGUGUUUACAAAAUAUAAAAUUAAAUAAUAAAUCAUAAGCAGAAAGUGAAAAAUCCUAAGGC
rnacentral:lncRNA from 1 species